UACGGAGGGUGCGAGCGUUGUCCGGAAUCACUGGGCGUAAAGGGCGCGUAGGCGGCUUGGUAAGUAGGGGGUGAAAUCCUGCGGCUUAACCGCAGGGCUGCCUUCUAAACUGCCAGGCUCGAGCACAGUAGAGGCAGGUGGAAUUCCCGGUGUAGCGGUGGAAUGCGUAGAGAUCGGGAAGAACAUCGGUGGCGAAGGCGGCCUGCUGGACCAUAACUGACACUCAGGGACGAAAGCUAGGGGAGCGAAUGGG
rnacentral:rRNA from 1 species